AAGCAUUGUAUGUCUCUACCACGAGUUUGUGGGGUAGACACAUCCUAUCCUCCCUUUCUUUUUUAUACUCUUUCGUGAGAUAAGAGUUAGAGCAAGAACUCUCCAUGGGACUUGACCCUUUUCUCAAAAUUUGUUGUUAAACUUUUAUGCAAAGUUGGAUCAAGUCAUUCAAGUCCAUGUAUGGCAAGAGUUCCACUUUAUCUCUUAUCACAAGACUAAGACCACUAGGAACAUAGCUAUGGUGGUGGUUUCUUCCUCCCUACUAGAGGCUCUCAUCAUG
rnacentral:lncRNA from 1 species